rfam:Entamoeba histolytica HM-1:IMSS scf_1104750516821 genomic scaffold, whole genome shotgun sequence.
AUCUUCACUACUAACAAAAUCGAUCUUAUCUUUCGCCUUUUACUAAAGAUAACCGUGUUAGUAGAUUUACUGAAGAUGAAGGAAUUUUUGGAGGGUCUAUUCAAGGACCA